rnacentral:rRNA from 1 species
AAAAAGCGCCGGCUAACUACGUGCCAGCAGCCGCGGUAAUACGUAGGGCGCAAGCGUUAUCCGGAAUUAUUGGGCGUAAAGAGCUCGUAGGCGGUCUGUCGCGUCUGCUGUGAAAACCCGAGGCUCAACCUCGGGCCUGCAGUGGGUACGGGCAGACUAGAGUGCGGUAGGGGAGAUUGGAAUUCCUGGUGUAGCGGUGGAAUGCGCAGAUAUCAGGAGGAACACCGAUGGCGAAGGCAGAUCUCUGGGCCGUAACUGACGCUGAGGAGCGAAAGGGUGGGGAGCAAACAGGCUUAGAUACCCUGGUAGUCCACCCCGUAAACGUUGGGAACUAGUUGUGGGGUCCAUUCCACGGAUUCCGUGACGCAGCUAACGCAUUAAGUUCCCCGCCUGGGGAGUACGGCCGCAAGGCUAAAACUCAAAGGAAUUGACGGGGACCCGCACAAGCGGCGGAGCAUGCGGAUUAAUUCGAUGCAACGCGAAGAACCUUACCAAGGCUUGACAUAUAGAGGAAACGUCUGGAAACAGUCGCCCCGCAAGGUCUCUAUACAGGUGGUGCAUGGUUGUCGUCAGCUCGUGUCGUGAGAUGUUGGGUUAAGUCCCGCAACGAGCGCAACCCUCGUUCUAUGUUGCCAGCACGUAAUGGUGGGAACUCAUGGGAUACUGCCGGGGUCAACUCGGAGGAAGGUGGGGAUGACGUCAAAUCAUCAUGCCCCUUAUGUCUUGGGCUUCACGCAUGCUACAAUGGCCGGUACAAAGGGCUGCAAUACCGUGAGGUGGAGCGAAUCCCAAAAAGCCGGUCCCAGUUCGGAUUGAGGUCUGCAACUCGACCUCAUGAAGUCGGAGUCGCUAGUAAUCGCAGAUCAGCAACGCUGCGGUGAAUACGUUCCCGGGUCUUGUACACACCGCC